rnacentral:tRNA from 1 species
GCCCUCGUAGCUCAGUGGAUAGAGCGCCGGCCUCCGGAGCCGGGCGCGUGGGUUCGAAUCCCGCCGAGGGCG